UACGUAGGGGGCUAGCGUUGUCCGGAUUUAUUGGGCGUAAAGAGCGUGUAGGCGGCCAUGUAGGUCCGGUGUGAAAACUCGAGGCUUAACCUCGAGAUGUCAUCGGAAACCAUUUGGCUAGAGUCCGGAAGAGGAGAGUGGAAUUCCUGGUGUAGCGGUGAAAUGCGUAGAUAUCUGGAGGAACACCGGUGGCGAAGGCGGCAUCCUGGACCGGUAUUGACGCUGAGGCGCGAAAGCCAGGGGAGCAAACGGG
rnacentral:rRNA from 1 species